rnacentral:lncRNA from 1 species
AUUCGAGUCUGAACGACGUUACAGACGAACUUCGUUAACUGAGCAAUAGAUCCCUUCUGCAAAUUUAUCCGUUCGGACCAAUUCGUUCUUUUGGGUCGCCAGCAUUGCCUGCUGGAGAAGCGGCCCAUCCGAUAACAGGAUCCGAUACUGCUCGUUAUUGCUAUUCUGGUUCCAAGAACUUGUAUCAAAAUCUGCUCAUGAUUGGAGAAGCGAUCAAUUCGUUUUUAGACGAGACAGACUGGAGAGAUGAGAGACGGAGGGAGAGACUGAAUUUUCUAGAAAAAAACCAAAUCUUGCUCCACCAGUUGCAU